UCGGGAAUUUUGGGCAAUGGGCGAAAGCCUGACCCAGCAACGCCGCGUGAAGGAUGAAGUAUUUCGGUAUGUAAACUUCGUAAGAAUAGGAAGAAUAAAUGACGGUACUAUUUGUAAGGUCCGGCUAACUACGUGCCAGCAGCCGCGGUAAUACGUAGGGACCAAGCGUUGUUCGGAUUUACUGGGCGUAAAGGGCGCGUAGGCGGCGUGGUAAGUCAUCUGUGAAAUCUCCGAGCUUAACUCGGAACGGUCAGAUGAUACUGCUUUGCUAGAGUGCAGAAGGGGCAAUCGGAAUUCUUGGUGUAGCGGUGAAAUGCGUAGAUAUCAAGAGGAACACCUGAGGUGAAGACGGGUUGCUGGGCUGACACUGACGCUGAGGCGC
rnacentral:rRNA from 1 species